GCGGCGGUAGCUCAGAUGGCCUAGAGCGCCGGUCCUUAAGGCUGUUGGCCCGGGCCUAUGGCUGGACUGGAGGUCGUUGGUUCAAAACCAACCCGCCGCG
rnacentral:tRNA from 1 species